rnacentral:misc_RNA from 1 species
CGAAAUGCGAUAAGUAGUGUGAAUUGCAGAAUUCAGUGAAUCAUCGAAUCUUUGAACGCACAUUGCGCCCCUUGGUAUUCCAUGGGGCAUGCCUGUUCGAGCGUCAUUUGUACCCUCAAGCUCUGCUUGGUGUUGGGUGUUUGUCCCGUCUCCGCGCGUGGACUCGCCCCAAAGUGAUUGGCAGCCGGCGUACUGGUCCCGGAGCGCAGCACAUGUCGCGCAAACGAGUGCCUUGGUACGGCGGCGUCCAUAAGCCCCUCUCUCACGCUCUUGACCUCGGAUCAGGUAGGGAUACCCGCUGAACUUAAGC